rnacentral:rRNA from 1 species
UACGUAGGGGGCAAGCGUUGUCCGGAUUUAUUGGGCGUAAAGAGCGUGUAGGCGGCCAGAUAAGUCCGUUGUGAAAACUAGAGGCUUAACCUCUAGACGUCGAUGGAAACUGUUUGGCUAGAGUCCGGAAGAGGAGAAUGGAAUUCCUGGUGUAGCGGUGAAAUGCGCAGAUAUCAGGAAGAACACCCGUGGCUAAGGCGGUUCUCUAGUACGGUACUGACGCUGAGACGCGAAAGCGUGGGGAGCGAACAGG